rnacentral:rRNA from 1 species
GAUGAACGCUGGCGGCGUGCCUAAUACAUGCAAGUCGAGCGAAUGGAUUAAGAGCUUGCUCUUAUGAAGUUAGCGGCGGACGGGUGAGUAACACGUGGGUAACCUGCCCAUAAGACUGGGAUAACUCCGGGAAACCGGGGCUAAUACCGGAUAAUAUUUUGAACUGCAUGGUUCAAAAUUGAAAGGCGGCUUCGGCUGUCACUUAUGGAUGGACCCGCGUCGCAUUAGCUAGUUGGUGAGGUAACGGCUCACCAAGGCAACGAUGCGUAGCCGAACUGAGAGGGUGAUCGGCCACACUGGGACUGAGACACGGCCCAGACUCCUACAGGAGGCAGCAGUAGGGAAUCUUCCGCAAUGGACGAAAGUCUGACGGAGCAACGCCGCGUGAGUGAUGAAGGCUUUCGGGUCGUAAAACUCUGUUGUUAGGGAAGAACAAGUGCUAGUUGAAUAAGCUGGCACCUUGACGGUACCUAACCAGAAAGCCACGGCUAACUCCGUGCCAGCAGCCGCAGUAA